rnacentral:rRNA from 1 species
AGGACGACGCUGGCGGCGUGCCUAAUACAUGCAAGUCGAGCGAAUGAUUAGAGAAGCUUGCUUCUCUCUGAUUUAGCGGCGGACGGGUGAGUAACACGUGGGUAACCUACCCUAUAGACUGGGAUAACUUCGGGAAACCGGAGCUAAUACCGGAUAAUACUUCGAAACACAUGUUUUGAAGUUGAAAGAUGGUUUCGGCUAUCACUAUAGGAUGGACCCGCGGCGCAUUAGCUAGUUGGUGAGGUAACGGCUCACCAAGGCAACGAUGCGUAGCCGACCUGAGAGGGUGAUCGGCCACACUGGGACUGAGACACGGCCCAGACUCCUACGGGAGGCAGCAGUAGGGAAUCUUCCACAAUGGACGGAAGUCUGAUGGAGCAACGCCGCGUGAGUGAAGAAGGAUUUCGGUUCGUAAAACUCUGUUGCAAGGGAAGAACAAGUAGCGUAGUAACUGGCGCUACCUUGACGGUACCUUGUUAGAAAGCCACGGCUAACUACGUGCCAGCAGCCGC